UCCCCCGGGAGCUCGAGACUGAGGGGGCUGCGGCGGCAAGAUGGCCUCUCGCUUUAUGCUGGAAGGGUACGGUCGGGGCGGCCGGGCAGAGCGCGGCGCCGCCUUUGUCUAAUCACCGCUCCAUCCGCAAGACCCAGAACGGCCCCUGCAUGUAGCGGGCACUCAAUACGUGCUCACUGAUGGAAUAAAAUGGAUGCAUGAAUGAAUGAGUACGUGCAUAAACAGAAGACUCCGGGGACGCGACGCUUUAAACGUGUGCUGGGGGGCGAGGCCUGCGACCGGCAGUCUAGGAAAGUCAGGGGAGGCGGCAGCCCCGGAUCACCACCCUCACUGCCACUGAGGUUAGGUCUCCGCACUCCGCCAGCCCCUGCCUUAGCCCUCCCAAAGCUUUGCUCAGACCCCGGCGACAGAGCCCAGGUGCAUGUGGGCUUGUCCUCUCUGCUAAGACCAGGUCUGUCCCUCGCAGUGGGACCUGGCUGCCUGCACAGCCCACUGCAGUAGGUCUGCUGCUCCCCAGACUCUCGGCUUCGGGGGAUUUCCUCAGGGUCCCUGGGGAUUUCCACAUUGCCUCUGCUUUGCCAAGCUCCCACGAGGCCCAAAGCCAAGCGCCUGCCUUGACAGAAUCCUCCAUACCGCUGCCCAAAUCCUACCCAAACUUGGUUCACCCCUGAGUCUACCAAAUGUACCACAUACACAAUAUUCCCAUCCCCAACCCCCUCUGGCAGACAUGAGAGAAUAAGCAUAAUGAACUAUUGUUCUCUUUUUCACAUAAAUGACAACUCUUUUCUAUUUCCACAGAAGAAAAAAAAGGAAAGCCAGUUUAAGGGUCGGCCACACAGAUUUAAAUAAAACAUCAGGAAGGUCUUCCCGGGUAUGAGAGAUGGAAACACAUGGUGCUUAUUCUCAGCGCCAGGGAGGCUGCUUCAGACAAGCCUCAGGUUCCUCCAAACACUGGACACUUGAUACAUAGUUUGAGGAUCUGUGUGUUCACCUCUGGAGGCCUUUUUUUUUUUUUUUUAGCCUGUUUCUAGAACCCUUUAAAGUAAAAAUAAAGCUCAAAUUCAAUCUCCAUAGAAGUAGGAGGAAUGAAGCAAAAGCUUCUUUCCUACCAACCUACCACCUCCACAUUACCAGCCUUGGCCAAAUCCACUGGGGCAUGUGAGCACCUGUGUGUUACAGAGCUGGGCAGAAAACAUGCUUGGCAAGGUGGGGAAGCACUGCCCCAGUUGUGGUGGCUCACAGCCAGGGACCUGUUGGCCCUGGGGCAUCAGGAUUCCAGAGCUGCUGAAGUGUAGAAAUUGCCAAAGAGGACAAGCCUUCCUUCCUGAGAGGAAGGGAAAAUGCCACCAUCCCCAGCCUCACCAGGAGGGCUGCAAGAGGAGAGAAGCCUUCAAGAGCACCCCACCAUUGUUUUCUGAGAACUCUCUGAAGCUGCACUGUUCAAUGUGAGUCUCUGGACCAUGCAUGGGUAAGACAUCUGGAAUGUAGUGGCCUGAGGGCUUCCCCGCACCACCCGCUGCCGGACUCAUCUGAUGUGAGUGCUCCCAGAGAGAGAUGUCCCAGCAGAACCCUGAGUUUUCAAGGGCAAAUAAGGCCAAUAAAGCUUCAUUCUGAGCAGCAUGCCAGGAGUUCUGCCCACGGAGCAAUGGGGACCAUAACUGGACAUCUCCCUGUGUCACUCACUGGAUGAACCAACUGAAGAAGGUAAGGAGGAGGACAUGGCGGAAAAGGACUUUAGGACAUGCCCGCCAGGCUAGAGAGGCUCAAGCAAGCUCCCCAAGCCUUGGAUCCAUGGAGGAAUAAGGGAACAGGACAUGGGUCUGACAGCUACCACAGUCUCUCACAGGCACUUAAUAUGAAAGGUUUUACUUAGAAAAUCCAAGUGGGAGAGUCUGGGUGAGCUCAUAUGUGUGGUAAAGGAGCAGAAAAUAGACCCAGGAAAUUGUAGGUCGGGGCUGCCUCUCUGUUCUGUGCCUCCAUUCUGUCCUCAGUUCCUGUUUAGCCCUAAUCCAGAUGCAAGAUGGGCGUGAAGAAACAAAAUAAGUUGUGGAGAGACCACAAAAAAGUGAAGUCUGUUUAACUGGAAAACAAACAGGUAGAAAGAAGCCUGGUAUUCCGAAGUUGCUGGCAUCGGACAAGAAUUUGACUGGAGGCAUUCAUGGGAAAAGGAGCACAAUUUUAAAGAUGCAUUGAACUACAGGCUAGUUUGGAUAAACUCUGAGGCUGCCAUGUGGCCCUGAGUCAACCUGGGGACUGAUCUGGGUCUUAUUUCCCCAUCUUCACUUGGAGGCCCUUUGGGGAAAAGCACCAUUCUGGAGACGAGAGUAAAGUGCCCUGUACUGUGCCCCCUUCAUCCCCCCACCACCAUCAGCAGAGCUGAGUCAUUAACAGGCCUGUGGCAUUCCUGGACAGAUGGCCCAUCAGGCUCCCAGGCACCAAGUACCUCCCAGCACCUUACAGACAGAUUAAUGAUGACGAUAAUGCUAUUCUAAGUGACUUGUGUGUAAUGAUUAGUUGAAUCCUUAAAAUAACCUUACAAGAAAGUAGUAGUAGUAGUAGUAGUAGCAGUAGUAGUAGUAGUAGUAGUAGUUUACAGGUGAGGAAAGUGAGGCACAGAGAAAUUAAAUAAUUUGCCCAAGGUCACACAGCUUAGUAAACAGUCAGGAUUUGAACCCAGGAGUCCAGCUGCAGAGUCCAUGUUGUACCCAAUAUACACCAAUGUAUUAACAAUAUAUACAUAAUCAUCAGCAUCUUCUGAUUUGUGGGCUCUUCUGCCAAUGCUGCCUGCCUCCUUUUUCUCCUCCCCAAAUGAGCUGGAAGCAGUUCCACAGCCAAAACCAGCCCUUCCAUCCAACUUCAUAUUUGCCAAGCAUCUGUUUCUAUAGCAACAAUAAGAUCUGCAGUUUCUGGAUUUUUGAAGAGAAUAUGUGGGGCGGGAGAAGAGGGGACCCUUUAUAGCAUGGGUCCCUCUUUCAGAGGCACAGAAGAGAGACUGAAAACAGGUGUGUUAAGGAAGAUGCAGGGGCUGAGUAGGGAACCCAGGGCUAUGAUAGAAGCCAGAAAACUGCUAUGCCUUGCCUCAGAGACUAACUCCUAUGGUCUGGACAGAGAAGGGGAAGGCCAGUUAGAAGGAUUAGAAGCUGACGGCAGAAAUGCUUUGGAAGAGUCUGAGAGAAAAGGACACCCAGACUAAAUUUUGCAGUGUAUGUGUGUGUGUGUUCCAAGCCAUUUCCAAACUGGGUAUCCUAUCACAGAGCCUGGUUCUGCGCCACAGGUCGAGGCCAAGGAGUGAUGGAUGGUAGCAGGGAACAAUAAAGGAGUCCUGGAAGAGGAA